rnacentral:lncRNA from 1 species
AGGGUUAGUUUUAAGAGCAAAGGGCCUUUACUAAAAUGGCGAAGGCCUUCCGUCGGCGUUGUUUUAAAAUGGGAAGCCUCGACCCUGUAUUGAAACUGAGCUGUUCGAAGGCGGCGUUGUGUGCAAUUCGGAUUAAUGAAGGGGAAGGGUUUUGUGUGGAAAAACGCCUUGGAGUGUGACAUUUCUGCGAGAAUGCUUAAAUACCGAUUUCCCGCAGGAACAAUGGCGCUGUCUUCAGUGGCACAGUGGAGCAGCUCUGAAGAUGCAAAGAUACACGAAAAAACUUCCAGAACAUCUGGGAGAAUAUUUAAUGGAAAAUCGCUUGGUUAAAACCUGACACUCUUAACAGGUAUGUGUUGUUUUAGUACUUUAUGAUUGAGCAUACCAUUUAAUCCACACCUAAACUAAAUCAAAUUUUUUUUGUCAGUGAACAGCGUUCUGAGUGUGGACGAGUAGCCAGUGAAGAUAAUGAAUGUCGAACGUGACUGACUAGCAGCUUCAUUUUGAAUGAGGGUCGCUGUCUGCCCAUUGAUAGAGGCCAGAUUGUCUUGGAAGUUCCAAAGUUGCAACGAUUUCUGGCUAGUGCCACGAGGUUUACUUGACUGUUGUGUGAAAAGCUGAUAAGAAAACCAUCCAGAAAAAAGCUCUUCGUUUUACAAACAUGAAAAUAAAACAUGUAAUUUUGG